UACACAAAUACAAGAAGCCAUAAUAAACUCAUAUCAUGAAGCCUGCCCACAAACCACCUACAACAACGGGAAAAAAGUUUGCUGGUGGAAUGAUAACCUGGCGGCACUAAGAAAGAAAACUCGCAAACUUUGGAAUAGAGCGAAAAAAACGGGGAAUACUGAAGAAUACAGUAAAACCCUAACAGAAUACAAUAGGGAAAUAAAAAAGGCGAAACAGGAAUCGUGGAGGAAAUAUUGCAAAGAAAUCGAAAACAUCACAGAGGCAAGCAGACUCCACAAAAUCCUCGCCAAAGACCCUAUAAACCCCAUCGGAACAAUAAAAAAACCAGAUGGAAAACACACACAAACCGGAAAGGAAACAUUAGAAACCCUAAUAAGAACGCACUUUCCGGAAUCCAAAAUUAUUACGAACGACUUCAUUUUUGUAUUCUUCAAAAAGACGUCGGAUGUUUCGGGUUUGUGGUGGAAGAGCAGCAAUUUCCCGGAGCUAAGGGUUAGGAGUGCUUAUACUUCUUUUCUUAUGUAGGCGUUGAUGUCAACGUCCGCUAUUUUUAGUUUUCAGAUCACCAUGACUCAGAGGCAUUUCAUCCAAAGGAUUGAACACAAGGCAUUAACGUUCUGUGGGUGAUAAAUAAAGACGAUUAGCAACAGGCUACUCCACACCUCAUUGAUGAUAACUGGAUUCUUAUGUAUCAUUUUAUAAUUCGCUUAAUGUCCGGCCGACCUUUCCAGGCGAUUCGUAAAUGGAAAAUUGCCGGAGCUGUAUAAGAGCGAACUGGUACCGUUACAAAUCAAAAAUAUGCCAAAACGGCGAACCCAAAUCUGUAGUUAAUAAAA